GCCGUUUCGGUGGUGUGGCCUCGCUCAUUCACCACAAGCAUUAAGUUUAGCUCCAUAAAAGAAAAAAUUAAGUAAAUGAAAAAAAUAAAUGUUAUUCAACUAAGAAAGUGUAAAGGUGGCAGCAGAAAUACUUUUCAACAAACACACUUUGUAUGACAUGGAACGUAUCCUCCAUUUUACUAAAGGAAACGUCUGUUUUUUACACGGUUUUGUUUACACAGAUUUGACAAGUUUGAUAUAGAUAUCUCCUAAACCAAUACAACUACAAUAACCAAAUUCGCUCAGUUCAAAUACUACAAGAAGCGUAAAAAUGGAUGAAACCGGUAGAUAACCCUGCUCCCUCUCCAUAUAACGGUACUGUUAAAAACUAUUAAAAGCGCAAUAAAUCAAUAACUAAACACGGCA